GAUGAACGCUGGCGGCGUGCCUAAUACAUGCAGGUCGAGCGAAGAGACUAGGAGCUUGCUCCUCUUACGUUAGCAGCGAACGGGUGAGUAACACGUGGAGAACCUACCUUUAAGACGGGGAUAACUUCGGGAAACGGAUGCUAAUACCGCAUAACAUAUUUAACCACAUGUUUUAAGAUUGAAAGACGCUUUUGCAUUCAUCUAUGAUUGUAUCGGCUCCGCAUUACUUAGUUGGUAAGUUAACGGCUUACCAAGGCAACAAUGCUAAGCCGACCUAAGAGGGUGACCGGCCACACUGGACUUGAGCACCGCUCAAGACUCUUACGGGAGGAGGCAGUAGGGAGUUUUGGGAAAGGGCGGAAGGCCUGCCGGGGAACCGCCGCGUAAGUAAUGAGGUUCUUCGGACCGUAAACUUCUGUUAUUAGGGAAGACCAAAUGUGUAAGUAACUAUGCACGUAUUGACGGUAACUACUCAGAAAGCCACGGCUAACUACGUG
rnacentral:rRNA from 1 species